UUAGGUAGCGCCUCGUGAAUUCAUCUCCGGGGGUAGAGCACUGUUUCGGCUAGGGGGCCAUCCCGGCUUACCAACCCGAUGCAAACUGCGAAUACCGGAGAAUGUUAUCACGGGAGACACACGGCGGGUGCUAACGUCCGUCGUGAAGAGGGAAACAACCCAGACCGCCAGCUAAGGUCCCAAAGUCAUGGUUAAGUGGGAAACGAUGUGGGAAGGCCCAGACAGCCAGGAUGUUGGCUUAGAAGCAGCCAUCAUUUAAAGAAAGCGUAAUAGCUCACUGGUCGAGUCGGCCUGCGCGGAAGAUGUAACGGGGCUAAACCAUGCACCGAAGCUGCGGCAGCGACACUCAGGUGU
rnacentral:rRNA from 1 species